rnacentral:piRNA from 1 species
GUCUGCUCGCUAUUGUCAGCUGAAUGGC